GACGAACGCUGGCGGCGUGCUUAACACAUGCAAGUCGAACGGAAAGGCCCUGCUUGCAGGGUACUCGAGUGGCGAACGGGUGAGUAACACGUGGGUGAUCUGCCCUGCACUUCGGGAUAAGCCUGGGAAACUGGGUCUAAUACCGGAUAGGAGCCAUUUUUAGUGUGAUGGUUGGAAAGUUUUUUCGGUGUAGGAUGAGCUCGCGGCCUAUCAUCUUGUUGGUGGGGUAAUGGCCUACCAAGGCGGCGACGGGUAGCCGGCCUGAGAGGGUGGACGGCCACAUUGGGACUGAGAUACGGCCCAGACUCCUACGGGAGGCAGCAGUGGGGAAUAUUGCACAAUGGGCGCAAGCCUGAUGCAGCGACGCCGCGUGGGGGAUGACGGCCUUCGGGUUGUAAACUCCUUUCGCUAGGGACGAAGCUUUUUGUGACGGUACCUAGAUAAGAAGCACCGGCUAACUACGUG
rnacentral:rRNA from 1 species